rnacentral:rRNA from 1 species
CCUACGGGUGUCUGCAGUGAGGAAUAUUGGUCAAUGGUCGCGAGCCUGAACCAGCCAAGUCGCGUGAGGGAAGACGGUCCUAUGGAUUGUAAACCUCUUUUGUCGUGGAGCAAAAGACGCCACGCGUGGCGUUCCGAGAGUACCCGAAGAAAAAGCAUCGGCUAACUCCGUUACAGUAGCCGCGGUAAUACGUAGGAUGCGAGAGUUCACCGGAUUUAUUGGGUUUAAAGGGUGCGCAGGCGGAAGAUCAAGGCAGCGGUAAAAUUGAGAGGCUCAACCUCUUCGAGCCGUUGAGACUGGUUUUCUUGAGUGCGCGAGAAGUAUGCGGAAUGCGUGGUGUAGCGGUGAAAUGCAUAGAUAUCACGCAGAACUCCGAUUGCGAAGGCAGCAUACCGGCGCUCAACUGACGUGCAUGCACGAAAGUGUGGGUAUCGAACAGGAUUAGAUACCCUGGUAGUC